rnacentral:lncRNA from 1 species
GGCAGGCGCUCAGUCUGGGUUGCCACAGUGUUUUUGGCAAGAGCCUUCAGCCUGGUGGAGGCCAUGUCUGUAUUUGUUGCGAGGCAGGCAGCCAGUGGGUGAGCAGGUCUCCUGAGUGUUGAGGAAUACUCCGCCUGCCCUGCCGCAACAACUACUUCGCCACGCCAUGCCCUGAUUGACACGCCGCGUUCUGCAGGGGCUGCCAUUUUAUGAUGAAGGGGGGCGAUCCUUGCUCUGCCCAGGCCUUGUCAGCCUUCCUCGCGAGGGCUACUGGGUCCUGGUGGUUCCCUCGAGGGGCCUUGAUGUAAGGAGCCCCCUGCAUGCUGUGAUCCCCCACUCCUCUGCAGAACAUGUCUGCAGAGUGAUCACCUCAGCGAGUGAUCAUAGUAACUACGUUGUAAGUAUGGAGAAUACUGAAGUGAAAGACUGUCUUCAUUCAUUCUUGCCCUGAAGAUUUUGCUGCCUAAUGGCUGAGCUUUAAAGAUGGAGACAUGCCCUACCACAACGUGAUAUUAACCCUCUAAGCUAGAACACUACACACUAACCGGACUCCAGCAAAAGGAUUUACUAGGGCAAAGAAAAGUCUGUUCUGUAAGGAAUGCACUGAAGGUGAACUUUUCCUUUGAAGCUCUCCAGUGAUGGAGAGAUCUGAUGGGGAGCACAGACAGACAUCCAGCAUCAACAGAAAAGCCCUUCAAAAAUAACCCAUGGAAAUAAGUAGCAAUGUAUACAUCACUGAUGACAUUCAGCAUCUUCAAGACUACCCAGAAUAUACAGAAGUCAUUUGAAGAACACCCAGCAGUGCUCUCCUCCUACCAGCUCUGUCCAUCAUGGGCUCUCAUCUCAAGGACUGUGAAACAAUCCAUAACUUUGUCCUACUUUGCAUGUUUAACUGCAAAUGCAGAUGCAUGCAAAACAUUACAGGUGCAUAAAUAGGGCCUCAUGUGGCUAUUCUGUUUAAAUUAUAACAAAUGUUUAAUUGAAAUGAUGCAAUUUAGUAUAAUAAAACACAGGAAAAAAAAUAAAUCUGUGACUUC